UGUGUUGAGUUUGAGUUGCCUGUUGGGCAUCCUGUUUGAAAUGUCCAGUAAGCAGUUGAUGUUGUAAGACUGCAACUGAGGAGGAGGCCUGGGCUGCAUCUAUGGAUGGGGAAACUUCAGCUUCUUGAGGAUAAAAACAUUCAUGUGAACUGAUGAGGUCACUGGGAGAGAGGGGAGUGAGUCCAAGACAGAACUUGGGCUGGAGACAUGCACAGGAAAAGGGCUUGGGAUGAAGAAGCAGCAGCUUAGGUGGGAGAGAGUGGUUCUGUAUUAAGUAGAGAUAUAACAGGAGGGAAGAUUUUAUUUUAAUAUUUCAUCUGUGGCCUGAAUAAUACUGCCCCAAAUUGGGUGAUCAAUAUCUCUAGAAAGAAGUGUGACUUUGGGAAGUGGUUUAUAAGGCUGACCUUGAGCAACAAAGUAAAAUUUUCUAUGGUGUAGAGAGUAGAAAAGGAGGAAAAUGGGAAAUAGAUCCUCAAGAAAUCCUUGAUAUGGGGGUGCUCCAAACCCUGGAGAAUCCCUCCUUGUAAGACCAACUUCCUAUCUCCUAACUUCCUGACCAUCAUCAUCUUUAAAAAAAAACCCUUACCUUCUGUCUUAGAAUCUAGACUGUGUAUCAGUUCCAAGGCAGAAAAGUAGUAAGGACUAGGCAAUUGGGAUUACAGUUAGGAAGGGUCUAAGGCCACAUUUGAACCCAGGACCUUCCAUCUCCAGACCUGGCUGUGUGGCUAUCACUCUCCUAUAUUUAAACUUCUUGAGGGAAGUAACUGUCUUUGUUUGGGGUUUUAUCCCCAGCACCUUGCAUAGUUUUUAGCACAUAAUAAACCUUUCAUUCAUUCAUGAGGGAUGGUCCCUGUGUGAGAAGGGAUGUCUUUUGCUAUUUCAGAAAUCCCUGACAUUCCAGGAUGUGACUGUGGACUUCUCCCAGGAGGAAUGGGGGCUGCUGGAGCCAGCUCAGAAGGACAUGUACAGGGACAGGAUGCAGGAGAACUAUGAGAACUUUGUCUCCCUGGGACUGUUCGUUUCCAAUGGAGAUGUCCUUUCACCAUUGGAGAAAAGAGAAGCACUAAGAUUGCCUGAGAGAGAAAUUCCAAGAAGUUCUUCCCCGGUGAAUGAAUUUUACUUUUUGAGGCAGUGUCAUACUGGAGAUGAUCACAAGCAUCACUCCAUUUCUAUCAAGUAUCCUUAUACACUUUUAUGUCAUCAUCAAAAGAUGAGUAAGUACCUUCUGUGAUUUCAUCUGGAAUAUUGCCAGAAUUAUUGAAUUGAACAAGACCACAGAGAAUCCAUAAGGCAUGAAACUAGAGAAAAAUAAUCCAGAUGGACAGAAUCCUUUAUUCCAGGAAGUUUUUUCAUGAAGUUUUUUAACUGGCCCUAAACUCAGUGCACAUUUCUUCAUCUUGUCAAGAAAGACAGUUUAAAAUAUUUUAUCAAAUGCAUUGUUUGAAAGCUAGAUAUCUGCUCUUUCCUCC
rnacentral:lncRNA from 1 species